rnacentral:lncRNA from 1 species
CCGAGAGCAGCUCUCCGACCUCCGAUUGGACUCUUGAGGGAACCGAGACCCAGUCGGGGCGACAACUUGCCCGAGGUCGCUAUGGCAGAGUCAGGAUUGGAUAACCGUACGGUCUCCGGAUCCAAGGCUGGCUCCAGAUAAGAUGGGGUCUCACUAUGAGAAGGAAACACUUAUAAUGUUAAAUGAACAAAGCAGGAUUUGCAAACAAAAGAGAUAAGCGAACUCCAUGCUGCUUUUCAGGGACAACUUUGCUGCAAGCUCUCAGAAGGCUCGCUGUACACCUGGCCUGUGCUGGACACUGGG